ACCGGGAUUGCCUUAGUAACGGCGAGUGAAGCGGCAAAAGCUCAAAUUUGAAAUCUGGUACCUUCGGUGCCCGAGUUGUAAUUUGGAGAGGGCAACUUUGGGGCCGUUCCUUGUCUAUGUUCCUUGGAACAGGACGUCAUAGAGGGUGAGAAUCCCGUGUGGCGAGGAGUGCGGUUCUUUGUAAAGUGCCUUCGAAGAGUCGAGUUGUUUGGGAAUGCAGCUCUAAGUGGGUGGUAAAUUCCAUCUAAAGCUAAAUAUUGGCGAGAGACCGAUAGCGAACAAGUACAGUGAUGGAAAGAUGAAAAGAACUUUGAAAAGAGAGUGAAAAAGUACGUGAAAUUGUUGAAAGGGAAGGGCAUUUGAUCAGACAUGGUGUUUUGUGCCCUCUGCUCCUUGUGGGUAGGGGAAUCUCGCAUUUCACUGGGCCAGCAUCAGUUUUGGUGGCAGGAUAAAUCCAUAGGAAUGUAGCUUGCCUCGGUAAGUAUUAUAGCCUGUGGGAAUACUGCCAGCUGGGACUGAGGACUGCGACGUAAGUCAAGGAUGCUGGCAUAAUGGUUAUAUGCCGCCCGUCUUGAAACACGGACCAAGGAGUCUAACGUCUAUGCGAGUGUUUGGGUGUAAAACCCAUACGCGUAAUGAAAGUGAACGUAGGUUGGGGCCUCGCAAGAGGUGCACAAUCGACCGAUCCUGAUGUCUUCGGAUGGAUUUGAGUAAGAGCAUAGCUGUUGGGACCCGAAAGAUGGUGAACUAUGCCUGAAUAGGGUGAAGCCAGAGGAAACUCUGGUGGAGGCUCGUAGCGGU
rnacentral:rRNA from 1 species